CGCAAGCCUGACGGAGCAAUACCGCGUGAGGGAGGAAGGCUCUUGGGUCGUAAACCUCUUUUAUCAGGGAAGAACACAAUGACGGUACCUGAUGAAUCAGCAUCGGCUAACUCUGUGCCAGCAGCCGCGGUAAUACAGAGGAUGCAAGCGUUAUCCGGAAUUAUUGGGCGUAAAGCGUCCGCAGGUGGUUUUGGUAGUCUGCUGUCAAAGCGCGAGGCUCAACUUCGUAUCGGCGGUGGAAACUCCAAGACUAGAGUUUGGUAGGGGUCACGGGAAUUCCCAGUGUAGCGGUGAAAUGCGUAGAUAUUGGGAAGAACACCAGCGGCGAAAGCGCGUGACUGGGCCUGAACUGACACUCAUGGACGAAAGC
rnacentral:rRNA from 1 species